rnacentral:lncRNA from 1 species
AUGGGCUUUUCUGCAGUAGCUCAGGAGUAUCAGGAAGCCAACCCUGACCUUGGAGGACCUCUAAGAGCCCAGGACCCACCAGCAAGAAAAGUUGUGCAGUUGCAGGCCGGGACUUUAGCUCAGUGGUUCUGCUACCUGCUUCAAAAGUGCAAGGACCCGAGUUUGAUCCCUACCAGAAAAAAAAAAGAAGAAAAAAAAAAAAGUUGUACAGUUGCAAUUGGCUAACAAGUGAAGCGGAGUAAACAAGAGGGACAAUGAAUGUGUCCUCUUAAAGAUAGCACUAAUCAGGGGCUUUAGCUCAGUGGUUCUGCUACCUGCUUCAAAAGUGCAAGGACCCGAGUUUGAUCCCCGGUACCAGAAAAAAAGAAGAAAAAAAAAAAAGUUGUACAGUUGCAAUUGGCUAACAAGUGAAGCGGAGUAAACAAGAGGGACAAUGAAUGUGUCCUCUUAAAGAUAGCACUAAUCAGGGGACCCCACCCUUAGACUCUGGGAGCCAGAAGUGCUGCUGGUUGGAAGCUGAUGAUCACAGCCGACAAUAAAGUUAAUUGUUACCCAGUCAAUAGUGUCUGUUGUGGUUUACAAGUGAAACUUCUCUUAUGCUCUUGACAAAAUAGUGAUCCCCAAAGUGUGGAUGUGUGCCCCAGAAAGUACAUGGGACAGUCCUGGAGGUCGGUACCAGUCCCAGAGACACCUGUGGUUGGGCAGUUGUGACUUGCCCGGGAAGGCCCUGGGGUGGAAAUCCAGUCUGCAGCCUCAAGGGCAAAGGGCACAAGGCACCUAGAUUUGAGGAGAGUGAAGGAGAGGGUGGAGGGUAGUCGGGUCUAGAUAUCUUCCCCCCAAGGAAAAGAGAAUGGGUGGUUCAGGGAGGCUGAGCAGGGGAGAAGCUCAGGCUUACCGCCUGCUGGGAAUAGCACCCUGAGGAACCAGGUGGGGACCCCGUUGGAAGUCAAGGUCUG